rnacentral:tRNA from 1 species
AGGCUAUUAGCUCAAUGGUUUUAGAGUAUCCAACUCUUAAUCGGAAAGUUUAGGGUUCGAGUCCCUAAUAGCCUA